UGUUGAAAUCAUAUACCCUAUAAUCCCAUGCCUACUAUAUAGCUUUCACCAACCUUAACACAAAGGAUAAAACAAUCAAAACCAAAAGGCAGCCUGAAGAGGGAGAGAUUCGAGUGAUCUUUUCAGAGGAUAAACAAAAAGACUCUGUCAGACAGUGCAGAAUGUGCUGGCUACACUAAGAAAGAAAGAGACCACAUAAAAAGAAACCAACUCACAGGUAAUGAUAUAAUUCCAAACCGCAGAGGAACCAACCACAGAUAUUGGCAAGCAUAACAUCUAACCAAUCAGUCAUGGUCUCUCACUCCCAACAUUCCACAUGCCAGUACCUUUUUUAUUUCCUCGUUUUAUCUUUACAAAACUCGAUAUAACCCAACAAACAAAAGUUACAUAAGAUAGAUAGAACAUCAGUGUGAAAGGUUCAACCUUUUUUUUAACUUUCAUCGUUUAAACAUGGGAAUAACACUUUCAUCUCUCAUUAAUCAAAUUAAGGAUCAUAU
rnacentral:lncRNA from 1 species